rnacentral:rRNA from 1 species
GUGAGAAUCCCACAGGCCGUAAACCCAAGGUUUCCAGGGGAAGGUUCGUCCGCCCUGGGUUAGUCGGGACCUAAGCUGAGGCCGAAAGGCGUAGGUGAUGGACAACAGGUUGAUAUUCCUGUACUACCGAUAACCGUUUGAGAGAAGGGAUGACACAGUAGGAUAAGCUAAGCACACUGUUGGUUAUGUGUGCCCAAGCAUUGAGGCAGUCAAAGUAGGCAAAUCCGCUUUGAUAAUGCUGGGAUGUGAUGGGGAGCGAAAUU